AUCUUUUUAGUAAAAUAAAUACAAAUGACUUCCAAUCAUUAAAUCUUAGUUAAAAUCUAAGAAAGGAUA
rnacentral:tRNA from 1 species